UACGUAGGGGGCAAGCGUUGUCCGGAUUUAUUGGGCGUAAAGAGCGUGUAGGCGGCUAGGUAGGUCCGUUGUGAAAACUCGAGGCUCAACCUCGAGACGCCGGUGGAAACUGCAAAGCUAGAGUCCGGAAGAGGAGAGUGGAAUUCCUGGUGUAGCGGUGAAAUGCGCAGAUAUCAGGAAGAACACCAGUGGCGAAGGCGGCUCUCUGGGACGGUACUGACGCUGAGACGCGAAAGCGUGGGGAGCGAACAGG
rnacentral:rRNA from 1 species